CCCUCAGACAGGUGAGGGCAUUCACACCCGACCGCUCAGACAGGUGAGGGCAUUCACACCCGACCGCUCAGACAGGUGAGGGCAUUCACACCCGACCGCUCAGACAGGUGAGGGCAUUCACAGCCGACCGCUCAGACAGGUGAGGUCA